ensembl:lncRNA
CUCAUGAGAGUCAUUUGUUUGGGAAUCAUUUGGUCUGAAAUGGUUGCGCUGUACAUUAUUUGUAUGAUUUGCUGAAAAGAACUGGUUAAAAAGAGUAAUUUGUUCAGGAAUCAUUUGUUCUGAAGCUUUUUGUGCUGUAUGUUUAGACUGACUUCAGAGAAAAAUGAAGAAAAAAGGAAUCAUUUGCUCUGCGUGUUAUGUUUCAGUUCCUUAUAAAGAACUGGUUCAUAAGACUCACUUGUUCAGGAUUCGGUUGGUUUAUGCUGGAUGUUUUUGAUUCACUAAAAUCUUUUUUGAGCUAAGCUUGAACAAAAUAGCCUGUAUCGGUGGGUAGCUUACAGCUCUAAUAUAUUUAACUUUUUUACUUUUGUCUUUUUGAACAGCAGAUACCUUGAGACCAAACGAUAGGAGGACAGGACCAGAAGACAACACAAGCUGGACUCAAACUCACCACACCACGUCUCCAGCUGAGCUCUGUAUUAAUGCACCGAGUUGCUUCAACCCUUUACAACACCGCAAACAGCCUGCAGAGUCGUGGAGGUUGAACAGACAGACACCUCACUCUUAUGUCAAGCAUCAAUUAAAGCAAUUUUCGCCUUGGAAGUAAGUGUCUUCCUGCUCUCUUAGAGAUUAUUAACAUCUCCACUACAGCUGUAGUUUAUUUUUUUCCUUCUUAAAGGAACAGUUCCCUCAAAAGUGCAGUUUUAAAUGAAAUUUCAUGUUUCAUAUCAGUAUUUUAUACUAUAUUUAUAUUUUAAGUAUAC